rnacentral:lncRNA from 1 species
AUUUAGGAGGGCUUAAACUAAAUUCUUGGCAGUGGGAAUGGAGUUGGGGUUGAAAACUGUAUAGGUGGUCUUAAAUGGUCUUUUGGAUGUGGAGUGGUGAGGGAAAGGGGAGAGCCCACUUCUGGUUUAUUCAGAAGAAAAGACAGGUGGAUAUGAGACUCUAAUUGAAGAAGGGGUCUGGGCCAGAGAUGAGGCUCUGCAAGACAGCUUAUAGGAGCCACACAUAUAGAUGGGACUGCCUAGGAAAAUUAUGUAGAGUCAGAAGAGGAGAGGUUUCAGAUGGAACAGGGGGCCAGAACAUCCAAGGGUCAGCAAACUCAGGAGUCAGCACCUGGCCCUGAAGAAGCUAAUGCAGCAUGGCCUGAGUGGAAUAAAUCAGAUUGAAUAGAUGUGGCAUGUGGGGAGAUGGGACUUGAAGACCACUUUUUCAAUAUGCAACUGUGGACAGGAGGCAGGAUGGCAAAAGCAGUAUCUG